rnacentral:rRNA from 1 species
GACGAACGCUGGCGGCGUGCUUAACACAUGCAAGUCGAACGGAAAGGCCCUGCUUUUGUGGGGUGCUCGAGUUGCGAACGGGUGAGUAACACUUGAGUAACCUGCCCUUGACUUUGGGAUAACUUCAGGAAACUUGGUCUAAUACCGGAUAGGAGCUCCUGCUGCAUGGUGGGGGUUGGAUAGUUUCGGCGGUUGGGGAUGGACUCGCGGCUUAUCAGCUUGUUGGUGGGGUAGUGGUUUACCAAGGCUUGGACGGGUAGCCGGCCUGAGAGGGUGACCGGGAACAGCGGGACUGAGAUACGGACAAGGCUCAGACGGGAGGCAGCAGUAGGGAAGAUUGCAAAAUGGGCGGAAGCCUGAGGCAGCAACGCCGAGGGCGGGAUGACGGCCUUCGGGUUGUAAACCGAUUUCGCCUGUGACGAAGAGUGAGUGAAGGUAAUGGGUAAAGAAGCACCGGCUAACUACGUG